GAUUGAUCAAACAUCUGUGUGUAUGUUCGUGACUAAUAUUUACAAGUAUUUCUCUACUGGUGCUUAAUGUCUGUGCUUAAUCCAAUACAUGUAUUAUCUUCUAAAAGUGAAAGUUUAAAGCAUGUACUGUACUGUGUGUGUGUGUGUGUGUGUGUGUGUGACAUGUCUGUGACGUGGUCAGGAGUCUUUGUCAGACCUUUUAGCUAAUCGUCGGUGGUUUGGUGAGAGAGAUGACUUCAGUGCUGUGCUGCUCUCCAGUCCCCUCAGCACUUAUCACACCACUGACCACAUUGCAGACCACUCUACUGACCACUCUACUGACCACACUACUGAUCAGCCCAUCCUGCAACUCUGGGCUGAGAUGCUGCAGCCAAUGAAGGAUCAGCCUGCAGUGGAUGUCGAUGGCAUCACAAGGAUUGCCUGUCCUAGGGAGGAGACGCCGUACCUGCGCACGCAACAGAACUCCCACUCAAAGGAAACAGACACAGGGUCUACACCUCAACUGGAUCCUGUUAAUGGCAGUGAGCUCCCUUGUGUGAACCGUACCCCUUCUGCUUCACCCCCUAGCUCAGGUAAGUAGCCUGCAGCCAGGAGAGCCCAGUGGAGUCAGGCACAGGUUAUUUCAUCUAAUACUUACAUUAUUCAUGUGCUCACUCAUACUCACUCACACACACAUCACUCUCCGUCUCUUCAAAGUUCAUGCACUGCGUCCAGCUGAUAUUAAAGUGGUCGCAGCCUUGGGUGACUCUCUGACAGUAAGUAUACACCUGUGUGUGUGUGUGUGUGUGUGUGUGUGAGAGAGAGUAAAGCAAAUUGCCUCUCUGAAAAUUGUGACUUCUGAGACAUUGUGAUGUCACUUCCUCUCCUCUGCCCCACAGGCAGCCAAUGGUGCGGGAUCUAAACCCAACAACCUCUUAGAUGUCAUCACUGAGUACAGAGGCCUGUCAUGGAGGUGGG
rnacentral:lncRNA from 1 species